GAUGAACGCUGGCGGCGCGCCUAACACAUGCAAGUCGAACGAUUAAAGCACCUUCGGGUGUGUAUAAAGUGGCGAACGGCUGAGUAACACGUGGGCAACCUGCCCCUUUCAUUGGGAUAGCCACGGGAAACCGUGGAUAAUACCGAAUACUUCGAGACUUCCGCAUGGAAGACUCGAGAAAGCUCCGGCGGAGAGGGAUGGGCCCGCGGCCUGUUAGCUUGUUGGUGGGGUAACGGCCUACCAAGUCAAUGAUGGGUAGCUGGGUUGAGAGACCGACCAGCCAGAUUGGGACUGAGACACGGCCCAGACUCCUACGGGAGGCAGCAGUGGGGAAUCUUGCACAAUGGGCGAAAGCCUGAUGCAGCGACGCCGCGUGCGGGAUGAAGGCCUUCGGGUUGUAAACCGCUUUCAGCAGGGACGAGGCGAAAGUGACGGUACCUGCAGAAGAAGCCCCGGCUAACUACGUG
rnacentral:rRNA from 1 species